UUUUCUUCCUUAUUUAGUUAUCCUUUUUAAUAUGCAGUUUUCAAUUUUUGUUUUUUCUGGUGUUUUCACGUGUUUACAUAUUAUCUGAUAAACUGUGUUAUUGUCAUUCCGGAGGUUUGCUUGGAGGAGAGAGCCGCGCAAGGAAACAAAAUAUGAAGGGCUGUACUCUCUCUCCUCCUGCAAGUUUGGUAAGUAUGUCGCGCUUUGUGUGUUGUGUGCCUUCUCAUCUCAUGAUAUGGCCAUGUUUCACAUUUUUGUCCAUAGCAUGGUAGAAGUCUUUAGAGUUUAAUUUAUUGAUCGGUUCACUUUGGUGGACUAAGGUUAGUAGUUCGCAAGGGAAAAAAUGAAUUAGUUAACCUUUUCACUGGUUUUGGGAGUAUUUCUCUUCAUUGCACAUAUCGUCACUCUUGA